UACGGGGGGGGCAAGCGUUGUUCGGAAUUACUGGGCGUAAAGGGCUCGUAGGCGGCCAACUAAGUCAGACGUGAAAUCCCCAGGCUCAACCUGGGAACUGCGUCUGAUACUGGAUGGCUUGAAUCCGGGAGAGGGAUGCAGAAUUCCAGGUGUAGCGGUGAAAUGCGUAGAUAUCUGGAGGAAUACCGGUGGCGAAGGCGGCAUCCUGGGUCGACACUGACGCUGAGGCGCGAAAGCGUGGGGAGCAAACAGG
rnacentral:rRNA from 1 species